UACAGGUUAGGAGGGACUUGGACAGGCUUAUUGGUUGAAGACCAGGAGCCAGGGCAGAGAUAAAAUAACCAGGCCCGGGGGUCUCCAAGACAGCAGGCAACAGGAUCAGGGGGAAAGUCAUGGCUGAGAUGAGGAACACAUCCUCUGAGUUUGAAUGGAAGAACCCAAGAUUGCUUGGAGAUACUGGUUGGUGUUGCCUGGGAUCCACUACCAAAGAAACUUCACUCAAAUUUCUAUCUUAGGGUCACUAGUCCUCUAGGUAUAAUUAGCCCCACUUUAAAGAUGAGAAAAUUGAGAUUUUGUGAGAUUAAGUGGCUUUCCUAACAAUUGCAAUUCCCCUUCUUUCUGGGGUAACCCAAGA
rnacentral:lncRNA from 13 species